AUUGAACGCUGGCGGCAGGCUUAACACAUGCAAGUCGAGCGGAGCGAGGGUGCUUGCACCUUAGCUUAGCGGCGGACGGGUGAGUAAUGCUUAGGAAUCUGCCUAUUAGUGGGGGACAACAUUCCGAAAGGGAUGCUAAUACCGCAUACGCCCUACGGGGGAAAGCAGGGGGUCUUCGGACCUUGCGCUAAUAGAUGAGCCUAAGUCGGAUUAGCUAGUUGGUGGGGUAAAGGCCUACCAAGGCGAUGAUCUGUAGCGGGUCUGAGAGGAUGAUCCGCCACACUGGGACUGAGACACGGCCCAGACUCCUACGGGAGGCAGCAGUGGGGAAUAUUGGACAAUGGGGGGAACCCUGAUCCAGCCAUGCCGCGUGUGUGAAGAAGGCCUUUUGGUUGUAAAGCACUUUAAGCGAGGAGGAGGCGCUCUAGGACAAUACCCUAGAUGCGUGGACGUUACUCGCAGAAUAAGCACCGGCUAACUCUGUGCCAGCCGCCGCAGUAAAAC
rnacentral:rRNA from 1 species